rnacentral:rRNA from 1 species
GCGCAAUGGACGAAAGUCUGACGCAGCAACGCCGCGUGAGGGAUGAAGGCCUUCGGGUCGUAAACCUCUUUUCUCAGGGACGAUAAUGACGGUACCUGAGGAUAAGCCACGGCUAGCUACGUGCCAGCAGCCGCGGUAAUACGUAGGUGGCGAGCGUUGUCCGGAUUUACUGGGCGUAAAGAGCGCGCAGGCGGUCGGCCAAGUCGAGUGUGAAAGCCCCCGGCUCAACUGGGGAGGGUCACUCGAUACUGGUCGACUCGAAGGCGGGAGAGGGAAGCGGAAUUCCCGGUGUAGUGGUGAAAUGCGUAGAUAUCGGGAGGAACACCAGUGGCGAAGGCGGCUUCCUGGCCCGUUCUUGACGCUGAGGCGCGAAAGCUAGGGGAGCGAACGGGAUUAGAUACCCCGGUAGUCCUAGCCGUAAACGAUGGACACUAGGUGUUGGUGGUAUCAACCCCACCAGUGCCGAAGCUAACGCAUUAAGUGUCCCGCCUGGGGAGUACGGCCGCAAGGCUA